rnacentral:rRNA from 1 species
CCUACGGGAGGCUGCAGUGGGGAAUAUUGCACAAUGGGCGCAAGCCUGAUGCAGCCAUGCCGCGUGUGUGAAGAAGGCCUUCGGGUUGUAAAGCACUUUCAGCGGGAGGAAGGCGUUAAGGUUAAUAACCUUGGCGAUUGACGUUACCCGCAGAAGAAGCACCGGCUAACUCCGUGCCAGCAGCCGCGGUAAUACGGAGGGUGCAAGCGUUAAUCGGAAUUACUGGGCGUAAAGCGCACGCAGGCGGUCUGUCAAGUCGGAUGUGAAAUCCCCGGGCUCAACCUGGGAACUGCAUUCGAAACUGGCAGGCUAGAGUCUUGUAGAGGGGGGUAGAAUUCCAGGUGUAGCGGUGAAAUGCGUAGAGAUCUGGAGGAAUACCGGUGGCGAAGGCGGCCCCCUGGACAAAGACUGACGCUCAGGUGCGAAAGCGUGGGGAGCAAACAGGAUUAGAUACCCGGGUAGUC